rnacentral:misc_RNA from 1 species
GAUGAAGAACGUAGCGAAAUGCGAUAAGUAGUGUGAAUUGCAGAAUUCAGUGAAUCAUCGAAUCUUUGAACGCACAUUGCGCCCUUUGGUAUUCCUUAGGGCAUGCCUGUUCGAGCGUCAUUUAAACCUUCAAGCUAAGCUUGGUGUUGGGUGACUGUCCGCUUCACGGCGGACUCGCCUCAAAAUUAUUGGCGGCCGGUACAUUGGCUUCGAGCGCAGCAGAAACGCGAACUCGGGCCCGUCGUAUUGGCUCCCAGAAGCUAUCUUUACAAUUUUGACCUCGGAUCAGGUAGGGAUACCCGCUGAACUUAAGCAUAUCAAUAAGCGGAGGA